AAAAAAAAAAAAAGAGAAAAGAAAAAAAAAAAGAAAGAUUGUAUACAAAGAAAAGAAAAAAAAAAAAAUGUUUUUUAAAGUUUCAGUUUAAGGGUGUGAUUGGAGGUUUCAGAAGAAUCGUUGGAGAGCUUGAGUUCUUAUAAAUCUAGACAAAAGAAUUGCUUGCAAUGUAGCUUGGAACUUGUGUUUUCCUAUUCUUUCAUUUCAAUAACCCUAUCCCUAAGCCUCAUUACAUCCAAUAAAAAGUCCUCUUGAUUUAAGUUUUGCAAUUAUGACUGUGGAGAAGUGAUCUUUAUGCAAGCUUAUGGUAGAAAUUUCACAUUUGAUUCUUUGAGCGAAACACAUUAAAACUAAACACAUGUGUGAUUGAGUGCAUAUCCAGUGAGAAUGUCGCUAGUUUGCAUAUGAUGUUUUUAAAAAUAAAAACUUGAAAUUGCAUUAGCAUGGCUAUCUCACACACUACACUUCAAGGAUGAUUCAAAGAUUACUGCUAAUAUUUGAAUAAGGAAGAUGAACUUGGAUUAGUUUGUUGGUGCUAGCUAUGGUUCUUGAUGAUUUGUUUUCUCGAAUGAAAUUCUAUGAGGGUCACAUAGGGGGAAACUAAUGUUUUUCAUGUUAGUACUUUUUCAUGUUUUCUUUGUUUUGCUCGAGGACUAGCAAAAGCUAAGUAUGGGGGUAUUUGAUCGGAUCAUAUUUAUAUAUAUUUUUACUUCAAAUUCACUUGUCUUUUCUUAGUUAGUUCCUUAUAUUUUUGAGCUAUUUACGUUAUUUUUGUGUUUAUAGGAUUUGUUAUGCAAAGAAAAUAAAAAUGGCACAAAUGAGUUUUAAAUAAUAAAUUCGUCAAAACUAACAUUUCAUUCAUCCUUUCGACUGGCAAAUAAAAAAAAAUAUAUAAGCAGCAUGAUGCGGCAAUGCUACAAAUCAAAUGAUUAAAACAAUAUGGUUGGACGUGAUCGGGACAACCGGAUAUUUAAUAUUGGAAAGGGUUAGUGAAAUGGGAAUGGUAGUGGAAUGGUGGGAACUUGUUUUGGUGCUAAAGGAGACGCACAAAGAAAAAGAAAAAAAAGAGUGGAAAGCUGCCUGUACAUAUCACACAUGCGUGCCUAUAUGGUAUAUGGACGCUAAGUUUAUCAGUGGAUUAAUUAAUAUAUGGCUAAUUCUGUGUUCUUUCAUGCAGGCUGAUGUCGACCAUUAAUUAGCCAAAGUUGCGUUUGGUGAGGGAAUAAUAGAAAAAGGGCUGCACCUUGCAGCACUAGAGAAUAAAAAACUAGAGCACCUUGUGGAGUGGAACGAAAAAGAAAACAAAAGGAAUAUAAAAGUUGGCAGCUUGCGUGAGAAAAAAAAAAAAAAAAGGAUAUAAGGAUCGCUGCCUUGCAGCGUGGAGGGGGGCUCGGCAUUUUUGUGCAGUGUGUGUGUGCUGCCCUUUGGGCAGUACCUGGAGGCCUCGGGGAAAAAAUAGAAGAAGCUGCCUCUUGUGCAACACGUGAAGAGGGAGAGGGCCUCAGCAGAGAAGGUACAAGCUGCCUUUGCAGCUGGGCAGUACCGAGAAGAAGUCAGAGAAGGUGCGAGAAAAGAAAAACAAAACUCUGCUGCCCGUGGCAGCAAGGCAGAGGAGCAGUCGGCCCUUGCGCGCAGCGACUGGAAGAGCAAAACAGAAGCACUUAUCUUUUGGUUAAAUCUUUCCAAACUUUUAUUUUAUUUCUGUUUUUAAUAAUGUGUAAUUAAAUUUAUGUUGGCUAGAGGUUAAUUCAAAACCAUGAAUAUAUUUGUAAUAUGAAUUGAUUACCUUCGGUUGUGAUUUCAUAAGUUGUGAAUUCAAUUUACUUAUCCGUUCGUAUAAAAACUGAUUUGUGUAUGUUGGUUGAGAGUGCACGCUUAAUUUACAUGCAUGAAUUUGAUGCUAGAAUAUAAGUGAAUUUCACCUAAUCGUUAUGAACUUAUAUUCAUAAGUAGUAAAGGUUGCUAGUCACAAUCACGUUAAGUAAAUUCUUGGCAUAAGUUUCAUGCAAAUCAUAGUAACGAGUGCAUCGUCAAUGCUUAUGUUUUUCAUAGAACUUAAUGAUUCUUGCUUGUAUCUCUAUUAUGCAAUUCAUGUAGGGAACUUGUAGGGAAUGUUUUGGGUUGUCGUAUGCAAUCAUCCAACCCAAUAACUUGUGGAAAAACUGAGGGUUAAUUAGUGCAAUUCACGGUUAAUUUGGGGUGUUGAGUAUUCAUAGCUUAUCGAAAAGCAACUGGAAAUCAUUUUGUAUGCAAGUAUAACAUGUGUGGAGAAGAACCCUCUAGCUAGUCCGUCAUUUAUCAUUUUACCUUAAUUUUAUGUUUUUGUCAAUUCUGUAAUUUAAUUAAGUUUAAUUUACUUUUCAUCAAAACCAAACACCCAUCCAUUAUUAAAUUAUAUUAUUUAGUUAGUUUUCUUUAUUGUUAGUCUUUUAAUUUAAUUUCCGUCCAUUUCAGUUCCUAGUGUUUAAUUUAAUUGUUUUCAUUAUUUUGAGUCAUUUUAAGUGUGUUUCGAGUUAUUAGAGUUUUUAGCCUAGUUUUGUGUCCUUGAGUCUUGUUUAAUAUUUUUGAAUUAAUUUAGAAUAGAUUAGCAAUCCCUCCUAAUCCCCGGCAACGGCGCCAAAAUUUGGUGUGAGAAUUACUUGACACACAAAUUAAACCCUCUUUUUGACAGUUGUAGUAUAGUUGUAAGUAGGGUAUAAAGAGUAUAAAAAAUGACCAAAUUGAAAUUUUUUGUACCUUCAACUACGAACGAGUUUCAUUUGUUUCCAUGUUGUUGCUUUUUGUUUUCAUAAAAAAAAAAAAAUUUUAAAAAAAAAAAAAAAUUUAAAAAUCGGAAAAUUUAAAAAAAAAAAUCCAAAAAUAUUGUCUUGUUUCCCUUAUUGUUUUGAAUUAGAUUUUUGUUAGUUUCCCGACCCAAUGAUAUAAUUAGAUCAAAUUUGAAUCAUGAUUAUCAAGAACUUAGUUAACAUGUGUUUUGUGAAAUUCCUAAUUCUCUUGUUAGUUUUGUACAUGUUUGAUCAUCUUUGAAAAACCAAAUGCACAUAGCCUUGUUAAUGUGAAACUAAAGUAUGACUUAAAGCUUCAUAUGUGAAUUUAGUGACCAUAUACAUCCUAUGUGAGUUUUUGAGCCUAUUGAAAGUGUGUGCAUUUUUCAUACACUCCUAUUCUUUCAUGUGUGAUGAACUUAUGUGAAAUACAUCUCUAGAACUUGCGUAACGAUCUUUCGAAAUGUUUGUCAUUGAUUGCAUGAACUUGGAAAUGAUAGAGGCAUUAGGUUUACCACCAUGGCCCAAAUAACCAUGUAUCCCAAAGAAAAAAAUGAUAUUAUUAGAUUGCCAAUUUGAGCCGUGUAUGUUGAGCCUUUUAUUUCUUAUCACCAGAUAUGUCUACCCUUAUACCUGAAAUAUUUUUCCUUACCCUUUCCAAGCAAACUAGUGAGCAAUGUGAGAUUGUCUUAUGAGAAAUGUUUGUGAAGUACUUUGAGGGUGUUGGGCAAACGAAUAAGUGUGGGGGUAUUUCAUGUUUGUAUAAAAAUAAAAAAAAAAAAAAAAAAAAAAAAAAAAAAAAAAAAGAGAAAAGAAAAAGAAAAAGAAAGAUUGUAUACAAAGAAAAGAAAAAAAAAAUGUUUUUAAAGUUUCAGUUUAAGGGUGUGAUUGGAGGUUUCAGAAGAAUCGUUGGAGAGCUUGAGUUCUUAUAAAUCUAGACAAAAGAAUUGCUUGCAAUGUAGCUUGGAACUUGUGUUUUCCUAUUCUUUCAUUUCAAUAACCCUAUCCCUAAGCCUCAUUACAUCCAAUAAAAGUCCUCUUGAUUUAAGUUUUGCAAUUAUGACUGUGGAGAAGUGAUCUUUAUGCAAGCUUAUGGUAGAAAUUUCACAUUUGAUUCUUUGAGCGAAACACAUUAAAACUAAACACAUGUGUGAUUGAGUGCAUAUCCAGUGAGAAUGUCGCUAGUUUGCAUAUGAUGUUUUUAAAAAUAAAAACUUGAAAUUGCAUUAGCAUGGCUAUCUCACACACUACACUUCAAGGAUGAUUCAAAGAUUACUGCUAAUAUUUGAAUAAGGAAGAUGAACUUGGAUUAGUUUGUUGGUGCUAGCUAUGGUUCUUGAUGAUUUGUUUUCUCGAAUGAAAUUCUAUGAGGGUCACAUAGGGGGAAACUAAUGUUUUUCAUGUUAGUACUUUUUCAUGUUUUCUUUGUUUUGCUCGAGGACUAGCAAAAG
rnacentral:lncRNA from 1 species